rnacentral:rRNA from 1 species
AAAGCGCGCGUAGGUGGUUUGUUAAGUUGAAUGUGAAAUCCCCGGGCUCAACCUGGGAACUGCAUCCAAAACUGGCAAGCUAGAGUAGGGCAGAGGGUGGUGGAAUUUCCUGUGUAGCGGUGAAAUGCGUAGAUAUAGGAAGGAACACCAGUGGCGAAGGCGACCACCUGGGCUCAUACUGACACUGAGGUGCGAAAGCGUGGGGAGCAAACAGGAUUAGAUACCCCUGU